rnacentral:rRNA from 1 species
AUUGAACGCUGGCGGAAUGCUUUACACAUGCAAGUCGAGCGGCAGCGCGGGGCAACCUGGCGGCGAGCGGCGAACGGGUGAGUAAUACAUCGGAACGUGCCCAGACGUGGGGGAUAACUACUCGAAAGAGUAGCUAAUACCGCAUAUGAUCUAAGGAUGAAAGCGGGGGAUCGCAACACCUCGCGCGUUUGGAGCGGCCGGUGGCAGAUUAGGUAGUUGGUGGGGUAAAGGCUUACCAAGCCUGCGAUCUGUAGCUGGUCUGAGAGGCAGAACAGCCACACUGGGACUGAGACACGGCCCAUACUCCUACGGGAGGCAGCAGUGGGGAAUUUUGGACAAUGGGCGAAAGCCUGAUCCAGCCAUUCCGCGUGCAGGAUGAAGGCCCUCGGGUUGUAAACUGCUUUUGUACAGAACGAAAAAGCUCUGGUUAAUACCUGGAGUCCAUGACGUUACUGUAAGAAUAAGCACCGGCUAACUACGUGCCAGCAGCCGCAGUAA